GACGAACGCUGGCGGCGUGCCUAAUACAUGCAAGUCGAACGCAGUGGGGACGGGUGAGUAACACGUGGGUAACCUCCCAUCAGAGGGGAUAACACUUGGAAACAGGUGCUAAACAGAUAUUGAUGGAUGGACCCGAGGUGCAUUAGCUAGUUGGUGAGGUAACGGCUCACCAGGGCCACGAUGCAUAGCGGACCGGAGAGGGGGAGCGGCAACACUGGGACUGAGAAACGGCCCAGACGCCUACGGGAGGCAGCAGUAGGGAAUCUUGGGCAAUGGACGAAAGUCUGACCGAGCAACGCCGCGUGAGUGAAGAAGGUUUUCGGAUCGUAAAACUCUGUUGUUAGAGAAGCGGUAUCUAACCAGAAAGCCACGGCUAACUACGUGCCAGCAGCCGCGGUAAUUC
rnacentral:rRNA from 1 species